ACUAUAUGGCUAGUCUGAAGUACCGCGAGAACUCUGUAGUAAACUCUGAUGUACCCAGUCUGGCGAUGCUCGUGCGUGCUGGAUAGAGUGCGUUUAUUUUCGUUCGUCCUGUAAUAUUAGACGUGAUGCAAAGCCCUAAGCCGAUCCGGCGCUCUUAAAUAGUAUAAGCCGCUUCUCGGAAACGAAAGUCGACGUGGUCCUAACUUUUCUAGCACCGUUGAAUGUGCGAAAAAUAUAGAACGAAGAACUUGCACGGGUUACAGAGACGUUUUGUUAUAGAAUUUUUAUACCAUCGCCAACCGCACUGACCGGAUCAUCAACGUCAAGCCUGGGAGGAAAAUUCCCAAAAAGUGAGUCACUUCUUCAAUGAAAAGGUGAAGUGAAGGUUUUCCGGUCGUUCCAACAGUCAGGAACCAAAAUGAAAAAGAAGAAGAAGAAGAAAACGAAGAAGCUUACAGACGACCAAGCCAGAUGUAUUUCUGGCCGAGAAGACUGACUUACGUUUUUUUACACAUCCCUGUCGCGCACCAAUGUACGAGUACUGGCAAGAGAGGGCUGGCUAUUCUCAUUCUUUCCGUUCCAUGUACUCUUCCCGUCUGCAGCUCUCAGGAAUGAAAAAGAAAAAAAAAACAAAAGCCACUGGUACGUUUGAGUGGCUUCGAAUGAUUCACAUUGCAGUUAUCAGAACUUCCUUAAAAGGUUAUCAACUUGCCUAGUGCGAGCAUACUAUCCAGACGACACUUAACCGCCAUCACUAUUGUAUAAUGCGAUUCAAUUCUGGAGCCAGUUACGCAAUCAACAAUAGUCUAUCAAUGCUCCCUUGCAAUUCUAUUCUUGAACAUAGACAGUGCACGGACACUAUGACUGGUAUACGGCUAAUACAAAGAGGCCUUCGAUCAGCAGGCUUUCUUGCUCAGUUCGCAAGCUCGUCGGUGGCGGCUACUGUAACGGAUGGCAUAUUUAAAAAUAGAAAGAGAAACCGCUUAUCAAGCGGCGUGUAUUGUUAUGGCGUUCCACUGCCACCAUCCAGCCCUUUGUAGUCCAUAUUCUAACAAUAGCAAGCUACUGUACAAGUCCCUAGUGCAUGUGCUUCUUACAGUAGAUGCCGUAUCGAGAUUCGAUACAGCAGAAGCGCCGGCCAUGUUUUCUUAACUCAGGAAUCGAGUGCAGCCACGCUAGGAAGAAUACGUGCCAAGAAAAUAAGCUGGAUAAGCGUUUCAUCCUGGAAAGCUGAUCUCCAUCGCAUCCUCCUACCAGGCUGCUCAAUAGACUUUCCCACUAAUGGCGAUCGAAUCGCGUCACGAGUACGCUCGUGCCGUGCAUACUACGAGGUCGACACCAGGUACAGACACGUUGAUAGAUAAAAACAGACAGUCGAUGGAAAAAGUAUUUGAACCGCUCAGCGGUGACGAGUUUCCGUUCAAGGAUUUCCGGUGUUCGACUAUUUUCUAAACGGGUUCUCUGGAUAUUCUCUGGGACGAGUUACGUAUCCUGGUGACAGUCAUUAUUUAUAGAUCGGGUAUACAGACAUUUCAAAUGUCUCUCAAAGAAAGGAACGACACUUCGUGAAUGAUUUCUGGUGUUGGCGUUGAUUAAUCUAUCUGAACAUUCCAAAACCACGGAGAAUACGUCGAGAGCUAUAGGAUACGACGCUAUUUGGCCGUCGACAAGUCUCUGGCGCCGAUUUAUCCUUGGAUCGUACGAAUUUCAAACUGGACAGUUGCUCAUUUACGUUUCCAUUCAAAUCACGUUUGAGUUAUUUUAUACGUAAUGGGUAUCCAACAGUCCACGUGAAUUAACCUAUACGUUAUAUGGUGCUCGCCGUGAAAUUACUAUAGCUUCCUUGGGAUUGUAUUGUGCUAACCUAGAAACCGCCUGGUGCAGGCUAAUCGUUUGUUAAUUAUAUGUCGGAUAAUUAGUACCGGAACUAGAAGUAUUAUCUACACGAGGAUCUCUAUAAAGUUCUAUAAAAUUGAGCGUGUGUGUAUUGUAGACUUUCUUACGUAUUCUAUAGUGAACAGUGUAUAUACCAUACAUAUGUAUAUAUAAAUUCUUUACGAAUCCCGUUGGUUUAUGAUAAGGCGUGGCGAGGAGUGUAAAUACGUUUUCGUAAUGCCAAGACCAUCUCUAGUUAGCCCGUUACAAUCCAUUAAUAUUCCACAGAGCGAAUUCCAAAAUCUUUAUUGAUCUACCAUCCACCUUGGCGUGUCAGAGUGAAAUUAGGUAUCGCUUUAAUUUUAAAAUCAAAACCUAUCCAUAACCAUAGUGGAAUAAGACUAUUUUAUUCGUGAGUAGAUAAAACUUGGUACAAUAAUCAAAGUCAGUAUAAAAGUUUGAAAGGAUCGUACGAUCUUGGAAUACUGUUCUACCCACAUUGGCACAAGAACACUGAACAGGUUAGGUCGACGAUUCGAUUCGCGAGGAAACGUUAAAAUAAGUGUGGGCUGUCAGACGCCAUAGAGACAGACGUAGAGGUCUUCUCUGUAGACCAGCGUUCAUGGCCAACGAAUAUACAACGUGGUGUAAAUGAGAACCGAUAACAGUGUCCAGUAUCGUAUUGAAUUUUAAAGCGAAGAAAAAUCGUAGGUAGAAGAUACCGUGGGACGUUGAGAUUUUAAAUUUGAAAUAUCAUUUACGUUUCAUCUGUGCACUUCCAAACAUUAAGGCGCUUAUGAACAUUGAUGAUCUUUUUCUAAAUUGUACAUUCAAAGCUAUGGUUUUACAUGCUUCUAAUAAUAUUUUCUAUGCAGCCUUUUUUUAAUUUUGAUAGAAGAUAACUUCACACCAUAAAUUCAACGUACUCAACUCGUAACGUUCUCAGUUUGGGACGGUGAUUUAACGUGGGCGAAUACCUACAACACCUUUCCUUCCUAGAUCUACCCACUGUCUAUACGCUAUGGUGUAUAUAUACGUAUUGCAUAUGUCAGACACGCAUAGAAUACGUGCAUAUGAUAAUGAUAAUGAUAUAUAUACAUACACAUAUUGAUGUAUGUGAUACUUUACGGAAAGACACGUUGAAAACACGUCAAAGUGUAACGGUGAUCAGAAAGUAAUUUUUAUCUUUACGUACACCUACGCCAGUGAAACGUAUACACGACUGGAAAUUCAGGUCGCUAAUAAUUGCUGUUCUUAUAUGCAUAUGAGGAUAUAUGAUAAACUGAUUUUUUAGACCGAGUAAAUUAUAAAGCUCUGUAUACUUGACAGUCGAUUACACGACUGUGUAUCUUUUGUAGCAUACUAGGAUAAAAAUAGGAUAGGAGUCAGUUACAAAUAAGAUAUUAGAAUACAAAGAGAGCUUCGCUAUGUCUGACGGAACUGACAUCUGCCUACUGUAUCUUUAAGUAUUUUGUAAGAGAAUUUGUAUUAUUGCAUGAGCCUAAAGCGUGGGCAUUGCUUAUUGUAUGUGGGUGUAAAAAGAUUGUGCAAGGAUUGCUUGAUUAACGUUUACCUGUAAUGUUCAGUGGUUGGAUAUAAGUUUUGUUAAUGGCAGUACAAGUGUCUACGAUAAAGUCUGUGUAGAGAUACUGUAGGUUGAGGACGGUUGAGUGGGCUAAAAUUAUUAUUAAUUACGUAUAUAAUUAAUAGUAAUUAGGUAUAGUGACUUUAUUCUAUUACAGUUAGUUGUCUUGUAUGAUCCUAGAUGUCCCCUGGCACACUGUUUAGAAGAAAAUAGAAAAAUGAUUCUUCUAACAUAGUAUUAGAAUAGCCUGUGUAUAAUCAGGUCGUGUCACCUUUUUACUUUAGACUGAGGAACAUAUUUUGUAUGAGCUUUCGCAAUUUCCUGGAUGCGCUUCCCGUGGGUAUAUGUAACGUGUGCCUACAGCCAGGAACCCUGUACGCUUAGGGUUGACCUUAAUAACCUCGUUAGUUACUCCGGCGAUCAAUUAAUUAUCGCCUAAUUGGUGUUAAAACUCCGCUAUCGUCCUGAUAGGGCGCGUACUUUAUGUUGAGGUUCUCAUUUUGGUGGACAAGGGUCUUCUCUGAAGUGAGAGACGAAAAGGAUGGAUGAAGAGAGCUACGAGCGAGAUCAUCCGCAGGGAAAUUCGGAAUAGAGAAAUUCUGCCGUGGUUGGUGCUCCUGGUGUCGGUUCACUCGGGUGACUUCGGCCACUGUCGUUCGUAUUCGCUCGGCUAAGAAUACCGCAGCCAGCCAUAUUUGGCAAUGAGACCGCGUGGCACGAAGCCGGCGGGAAUCCAUUGCCAGUGGGAAUAGAAUGGAGGCAAUGAAAACUUCAAACUUCUUCGAUGCCGCAUCCCUGACUAGUGUAAGAGAGAGAGAGAGAGAGAGAGAGAGAGAGCAAGAGAGAAGAACAUUAAG